rnacentral:rRNA from 1 species
GAUGAACGCUGGCGGCGUGCCUAAUACAUGCAAGUCGAGCGAACAGAUGAGGAGCUUGCUCCUCUGACGUUAGCGGCGGACGGGUGAGUAACACGUGGAUAACCUACCCAUAAGACUGGGAUAACUUCGGGAAACCGGAGCUAAUACCGGAUAAUAUAUUGAACCGCAUGGUUCAAUAGUGAAAGACGGUUUUGCUGUAACUUAUAGAUGGAUCCGCGCCGCAUUAGCUAGUUGGUAAGGUAACGGCUUACCAAGGCAACGAUGCGUAGCCGACCUGAGAGGGUGAUCGGCCACACUGGAACUGAGACACGGUCCAGACUCCUACGGGAGGCAGCAGUAGGGAAUCUUCCGCAAUGGGCGAAAGCCUGACGGAGCAACGCCGCGUGAUUGAUGAAGGUCUUCGGAUCGUAAAACUCUGUUAUUAGGGAAGAACAAAUGUGUAAGUAACUAUGCACGUCUUGACGGUACCUAAUCAGAAAGCCACGGCUAACUACGUG